UACGUAGGGUCCGAGCGUUGUCCGGAAUUACUGGGCGUAAAGAGCUCGUAGGUGGUUUGUCGCGUUGUUCGUGAAAACUCACAGCUUAACUGUGGGCGUGCGGGCGAUACGGGCAGACUUGAGUACUGCAGGGGAGACUGGAAUUCCUGGUGUAGCGGUGGAAUGCGCAGAUAGCAGGAGGAACACCGGUGGCGAAGGCGGGUCUCUGGGCAGUAACUGACGCUGAGGAGCGAAAGCGUGGGGAGCGAACAGG
rnacentral:rRNA from 1 species